GCCUGGGUGGCUCAGUCUGUUGGGCGUCUGACUUUGGCUCAGGAAAUGAUCUCACAGCUUGUGAGUUCAGCCCCACUUCGGGCU
rnacentral:tRNA from 1 species